CCUACGGGUGGCAGCAGUGAGGAAUAUUGGUCAAUGGGCGAGAGCCUGAACCAGCCAAGUAGCGUGAAGGAUGACUGCCCUACGGGUUGUAAACUUCUUUUAUAAAGGAAUAAAGUGAUCCACGUGUGGCUUUUUGUAUGUACUUUAUGAAUAAGGAUCGGCUAACUCCGUGCCAGCAGCCACGGUAAUACGGAGGAUCCGAGCGUUAUCCGGAUUUAUUGGGUUUAAAGGGAGCGUAGAUGGGUUGUUAAGUCAGUUGUGAAAGUUUGCGGCUCAACCGUAAAAUUGCAAUUGAUACUGGCAGUCUUGAGUACAGUUGAGGUAGGCGGAAUUCGUGGUGUAGCGGUGAAAUGCUUAGAUAUCACGAAGAACUCCGAUUGCGAAGGCAGCCUACUAGACUGCCACUGACAUUGAGGCUCGAAAGUGUGGGUAUCAAACAGGAUUAGAUACCCCAGUAGUC
rnacentral:rRNA from 1 species